CUACGGGUCGCUCCAGUAGGGAAUCUUAGACAAUGGGGGAAACCCUGAUCUAGCCAUGCCGCGUGAGUGAUGAAGGCCUUAGGGUUGUAAAGCUCUUUCGCUGGGGAGGAUAAUGACGGUACCCAGUAAAGAAACCCCGGCUAACUCCGUGCCAGCAGCCGCGGUAAUACGGAGGGGGUUAGCGUUGUUCGGAAUUACUGGGCGUAAAGCGCGCGUAGGCGGGCUAUUAAGUCAGGGGUGAAAUCCCGGGGCUCAACCCCGGAACUGCCUUUGAUACUGGUAGUCUUGAGUUCGAGAGAGGUGAGUGGAAUUCCGAGUGUAGAGGUGAAAUUCGUAGAUAUUCGGAGGAACAUCAGUGGCGAAGGCGACUCACUGGCUCGAUACUGACGCUGAGGUGCGAAAGUGUGGGGAGCAAACAGGAUUAGAUACCCUUGUAGUC
rnacentral:rRNA from 1 species